UACGGAGGGUGCGAGCGUUGUCCGGAAUCAUUGGGCGUAAAGGGCGCGUAGGUGGCCCGGUCAGUCUUUGGUGAAAGCGCGGGGCUCAACCCUGCGUCGGCCAGGGAUACUGCCGCGGCUCGAGCACUGUAGAGGCAGGCGGAAUUCCAGGUGUAGCGGUGGAAUGCGUAGAGAUCCGGAAGAACACCGGUGGCGAAGGCGGCCUGCUGGGCAGUAUAGCUGACACUGAGGCGCGACAGCGUGGGGAGCAAACAGG
rnacentral:rRNA from 1 species